rnacentral:tRNA from 1 species
GGAGAGAUGGCAGAGUGGUCGAAUGCGCCUGACUCGAAAUCAGGUGUGGGAGUGAUCUCACCGGGGGUUCGAAUCCCUCUCUCUCCGCCA